GUUCAAAGUCACAGAUUUAUUUUACACUGAACUCACACAGAUCCUCCUUUCCUGAAGCUCCUUCUGUCGACGUCUCUAUUAUCGAAAACAUGGCAGCAGCUCCUUCAUCAGGUGAGCAGCACAGUGAAGGUCUGACACACACACACACACACAGAGUCUGAGGUGGAGUGUGUGUUUCCUCUGAUCAGCACUGCUUUAAUCCCAACAGGUCGUCUCUAACAGCGCUCGGAGGAGGGCGGGGUCAAUUCAGGUGACGCAGCCACCGAGCGGAACAAUUCAAGAUUUCAGCCUGGGCGGCGAACAGGAAUAUUAU